GUGCCGCUUCGGCAGCACAUAUGCUAAGAUUGGAACAACACAGAGAUUAGCAUGGGCCCUGCGCGAGGAUGACACACAAAUUCGUGUAGUCCAUAUUUUU
ensembl:snRNA U6 U6 spliceosomal RNA